rnacentral:rRNA from 1 species
UACAGAGGGGUGCGAGCGUUAAUCGGAAUUACUGGGCGUAAAGCGUGCGUAGACGGUUAUUUAAGUCGGGUGUGAAAGCCCCGGGCUCAACCUGGGAAUUGCAUUCGAGACUGAAUAGCUAGGGUACGGUAGAGGGAAGUGGAAUUUCCGGUGUAGCGGUGAAAUGCGUAGAUAUCAGGAGGAACACCAAUGGCGAAGGCAGCUCGCUGGAACGGUACUGACGCUGAGACGCGAAAGCGUGGGGAGCAAACAGG